UUCAAGUAACAAUUCAUUGUGAGAUUCUCACUGAACAUUCUCAUUUUCGCCGAUCAACAAGAAUUUCCGGAUCCGGACAGGAUACAUUCCGUUUAUUACAACCUGUGUGAACGUGACUAUCGCGUAUAAUUUCACUGUAACACAAUAUUGUCUGUUAAGUCGUUCCAGUUAACAUGGAAUUACGCCUUCACAUUUCUGCAUUCGGAAACAUUAUCCUUACACAUUCUUCGUCGUCACAAGUAGUUGCAGCAUUGUUCCUUUGAAGGGAAACGCCACCAGUCUACGGACAAAAAAUGUAGCAUCGUCAUUGUUUUGUUUUAGAGCUUUCAGGAAAAUAUACGAGAAUUUUACUAUUCGUUCUAAAUACAUUAAAUUAUAAACCAUUAUCGGCGUUUUUUGUACCUAUUCCUGAAUGCAUAUUACUGGAAUUUUUCCCAACACCAAAACGUUAUUUUAACACUUCGACACGUGUCCUCUUGAAGAUCAAACUCAGUUUCAAUGUUCUAGUUAUGAAGAACGCCGAUAAGGGUUCAGAAUUAGAUGUGUACAGGGCGCUCCAACGAAAACUACGACUCGAUUAAUUUAAACUCGGCCCAACUGCAUGUAUGAAAUCUUCGUCUAAGAGAAAGAUUGUUAACUAGUACAAGGUCCAUCCCGUGAACUAAGCCCCAAACGCGCAAGAAACAUCCCAUGUACCAAUAAUACUCUAACAGAGAUCAAGACAUGUCUGAAAAUUGUAUCGAGGAGAAAUACUUACUCAUAAGAAAAUAAACAUUUCGAAAUGAAUCAAGAAUACAUUUAACGAACCUCAA